AAACAGGAGCAAGUUGAACGAACCAGGAACUAAUCUUGAUAAACUACUAGUUAUUUUUAUUACUCUGGGUACUAAUGCAUUCUUUGAACAUGAACACAAGAUGCAGAAAGAUUAUAGUUAGCAUACACCCAUCCAUAGCUUUCGGCGUCCCCAGUGGGGGAGGCACAUGGGCCUCAUGACAGCAGGGGUUUGCCCCCGCCCUUCCCUUCAGCGUCGUCUUCACGUAGAAUACUGUUUCCAGCCGUUCUUGGAUCUUUCCCUUUAAUUUCCUCAUGGAAGCAGUAUAUACAUAGAGAGAGAGAGAGAUCAGUCAAAAAUUGCUUCCACCUGGCUGUUUGCAUUCAAUCCUUUUCAUGUAAUGCAUUUCGCAUGUUUGUGGUGCUGCACAAAAAUUGAAGGAAAAAAGAAAAGAAAAAGGGAGCCACUCCCUUAGAUUGAUAACUUGCACUAGCAGUUAGUUUAUUUGGAUCGAGUUUAAUGGGUAUCAUGUUACACGACACAGCUUAAAUGCAAGAUCGGUAUUAACAUGAACUGGAAAAUAAUUGGCAAUACUAUAUGCGGUUGAGAAGAGGAGACACAGGAUAACCGAAAGGAAAAUUUGGAUAUUAUGAAAUCGCUCUACAAUUUUAUCAGGGUUAUGUAUCAUACCAUGGAUCGAUGGAGAUGGAUGAUCUGACCUUGUUCUAGGCAAAUGACUGGCUAGCCGGUAUGUACGACUUGUAUUCACACGAUGACAAGCUAUCCUGGUAUGAAGAUGAUGCAUCCAAACGUUGGAAAAGAUCUGCAAUUGAAAAUAUCUAUUUGAGUCAAACACCCGGGUAAGUAACCUACAUCUGUCAUCUGUUAUCUUUUAGAUCGUGUGGAGCAUGUAAGCUCUUCUAUAUGGCCAUAUCUGUCACUUCAGUCUUCAGGCCAGCUAGUUUCCGG
rnacentral:lncRNA from 1 species